UGGGGAAUUUUGGACAAUGGGCGAAAGCCUGAUCCAGCAAUGCCGCGUGUGUGAAGAAGGCCUUCGGGUUGUAAAGCACUUUUGUCCGGAAAGAAAUCCUUGGCUCUAAUACAGUCGGGGGAUGACGGUACCGGAAGAAUAAGCACCGGCUAACUACGUGCCAGCAGCCGCGGUAAUACGUAGGGUGCAAGCGUUAAUCGGAAUUACUGGGCGUAAAGCUGCGCAGGCGGUUUGCUAAGACCGAUGUGAAAUCCCCGGGCUCAACCUGGGAACUGCAUUGGUGACUGGCAGGCUAGAGUAUGGCAGAGGGGGGUAGAAUUCCACGUGUAGCAGUGAAAUGCGUAGAGAUGUGGAGGAAUACCGAUGGCGAAAGGCAGCCCCCUGGGCCAAUACCGACGCUCAUGCACGAAAAGCGUGGGGAGCAAACAGGAUUAGAUACCCUGGUAGUCCACGCCCUAAAACGAUGUCAACUAGUUGUUGGGGGAUUCAUUUCCUUAGUAACGUAGCUAACGCGU
rnacentral:rRNA from 1 species